AAAAGAAACCAACAGGGAUUGCCUUAGUAACGGCGAGUGAAGCGGCAACAGCUCAAAUUUGAAAUCUGGCGCUUUUGGUGCCCGAGUUGUAAUUUGCAGAGGAUGCUUUUGGCGACGUGCCUUCCGAGUUCCCUGGAACGGGACGCCAUAGAGGGUGAGAGCCCCGUACGGUCUGGUGCCUAGCCGUUGUAAAGCUCCUUCGACGAGUCGAGUAGUUUGGGAAUGCUGCUCUAAAUGGGAGGUAAACUCCUUCUAAAGCUAAAUAUUGGCCAGAGACCGAUAGCGCACAAGUAGAGUGAUCGAAAGAUGAAAAGCACUUUGAAAAGAGAGUUAAAUAGCACGUGAAAUUGUUGAAAGGGAAGCGCUUGUGACCAGACUUGGGCUUGGUAGUUCAGCCGUCCUUUUGGGCGGUGCAUUCUGCCGGUUCAGGCCAGCAUCAGUUGUCGGUUGGGUAGAAUUGUAGUGGGAAUGUGGCUCUUCGGAGUGUUAUAGCCCGCUACGCAAUGCCCUCCUGGCGACUGAGGUUAGCGUUUUCACGGAUGCUGGCGUAAUGGUUAUCAGCGACCCGUCUUGAAACACGGACCAAGGAGUCGUCCUGCUAUGCGAGUGUUUGGGUGUUAACCCCUACGCGAAAUGAAAGUGAACGGAGGUGAGAGCUUUGGCGCAUCAUCGACCGAUCCUGAUGUUUUCGGAUGGAUUUGAGUAAGAGCAUAGCGGGCCGGACCCGAAAGAAGGUAAGCAAAAGACCCAAAUAUCCCCUAAUUUUUUAGUGGACGUAUGUACUAACGGUGGCAACCUUAUAGGUGAACUAUGCUUGAAUAGGGCAAAGCCAGAGGAAACUCUGGUGGAGGCUCGCAGCGGUUCUGACGUGCAAAUCGAUCGUCAAAUUUGAGCAUGGGGGCGAAAGACUAAUCGAACCUUCUAGUAGCUGGUUUCUACCGAAGUUUCCCUCAGGAUAGCAGUGUUGAUUCUCAGUUUUAUGAGGUAAAGCGAAUGAUUAGGGACUCGGGGGCGCUAUUUAGCCUUCAUCCAUUCUCAAACUUUAAAUAUGUAAGAAGCCUUUGUUGCUUUAGUGAACGAAGGCAUUAGAAUGUACAACACUAGUGGGCCAUUUUUGGUAAGCAGAACUGGCGAUGCGGGAUGAACCGAUCGCGAGGUUAAGGUGCCGGAGUAGUCGCUCAUCAGACACCACAAAAGGUGUUAUCACAUCUUGACAGCAGGACGGUGGCCAUGGAAGUCGGAAUCCGCUAAGGACUGUGUAACAACUCACCUGCCGAAUGUGAUAGCCCCUGAA
rnacentral:rRNA from 1 species